AUUGAACGCUGGCGGAAUGCUUUACACAUGCAAGUCGAACGGCAGCACGGGGGCAACCCUGGUGGCGAGUGGCGAACGGGUGAGUAAUACAUCGGAACGUGCCCAGUCGUGGGGGAUAACGUAGCGAAAGUUACGCUAAUACCGCAUACGAUCUACGGAUGAAAGCGGGGGACCGUAAGGCCUCGCGCGAUUGGAGCGGCCGAUGUCAGAUUAGGUAGUUGGUGCGGUAAAGGCUCACCAAGCCGACGAUCUGUAGCUGGUAUGAGAGGACGACCAGCCACACUGGGACUGAGAAACGGCCCAGACUCCUACGGGAGGCAGCAGUGGGGAAUUUUGGACAAUGGGCGCAAGCCUGAUCCAGCCAUUCCGCGUGCAGGACGAAGGCCUUCGGGUUGUAAACUGCUUUUGUACGGAACGAAAAGGCUCUGGUUAAUACCUGGGGCUCAUGACGGUACCGUAAGAAUAAGCACCGGCUAACUACGUGCCAGCCGCCGCGGUAA
rnacentral:rRNA from 1 species